rnacentral:rRNA from 1 species
UAUGUGUUUUUCCCUGGUGGAGAUAUCUUUUAUACAGCCGGCAUUGCGGCUAUCUACUGGGCUAUAUGGACUUGUCGUAAUAGAGUUACUUUCGAGCAUAUUCCACUCAAUUCUCCAUUUGAAUGCAUCUUCUCUGCAUGUGCUCUUUUAUGUUACUGGGCAGGUAUGAUGAAGCAGGAGGAUGCGGCGGCCCUGUGA